GACGAACGCUGGCGGCGUGCUUAACACAUGCAAGUCGAACGGAAAGGCCCUGCUUUUGUGGGGUGCUCGAGUGGCGAACGGGUGAUUAACACGUGAGUAACCUGCCCUUGACUUUGGGAUAACUUCAGGAAACUGGGUCUAAUACCGGAUAGGAGCUCCUGCUGCAUGGUGGGGGUUGGAAAGUUUCGGCGGUUGGGGAUGGACUCGCGGCUUAUCAGCUUGUUGGUGGGGUAGUGGCUUACCAAGGCUUUGACGGGUAGCCGGCCUGAGAGGGUGACCGGCCACAUUGGGACUGAGAUACGGCCCAGACUCCUACGGGAGGCAGCAGUGGGGAAUAUUGCACAAUGGGCGGAAGCCUGAUGCAGCAACGCCGCGUGCGGGAUGACGGCCUUCGGGUUGUAAACCGCUUUCGCCUGUGACGAAGCGUGAGUGACGGUAAUGGGUAAAGAAGCACCGGCUAACUACGUG
rnacentral:rRNA from 1 species